rnacentral:rRNA from 1 species
AUUGAACGCUGGCGGCAUGCCUUACACAUGCAAGUCGAACGGCAGCACGGGAGCAAUCCUGGUGGCGAGUGGCGAACGGGUGAGUAAAGUAUCGGAACGUGCCCAGUCGUGGGGGAUAACGUAGCGAAAGCUACGCUAAUACCGCAUACGAUCUAUGGAUGAAAGCGGGGGAUCGCAAGACCUCGCGCGAUUGGAGCGGCCGAUAUCAGAUUAGGUAGUUGGUGGGGUAAAGGCCCACCAAGCCGACGAUCUGUAGCUGGUCUGAGAGGACGACCAGCCACACUGGGACUGAGACACGGCCCAGACUCCUACGGGAGGCAGCAGUGGGGAAUUUUGGACAAUGGGCGCAAGCCUGAUCCAGCAAUGCCGCGUGCAGGAUGAAGGCCUUCGGGUUGUAAACUGCUUUUGUACGGAGCGAAAAGGCUCUCUCUAAUACAGGGGGCUCAUGACGGUACCGUAAGAAUAAGCACCGGCUAACUACGUGCCAGCAGCCGCGGUAAAAC